rnacentral:tRNA from 1 species
GGAGAGGUGUCCGAGAGGUUUAAGGAGCUAGUCUUGAAAACUAGUGAUUCUGAAAGGAACCGUGGGUUCGAAUCCCACCCUCUCCGCCA